rnacentral:lncRNA from 1 species
UUAUGGUUUAUGAGAUGGGAUUUGCAACUGUUGUUAUUUGCAUAGUUAUUAAAUUCGUUGCUUUAAUUGUAAAAUCUUCAAACAGGCACUGUAGCAAAGCAUAUAAGUUUUAUAUGGUAUAACAUUUUUGAAUAUUAUAUAUCCCUCCUCAGUAUCAUAACUUAACAGUAAAUACAGAAUAACUUCAAACUAUUCUAAGCUGUUACUAGCUGAGUAGAUUUCCAAGAUGCUGUUGUAUGCCUCUAUUGCUGGGGCAGUGGUCGGUUUUCCAGCAGCAAUAUCUUUUUUUAUGUUCAUCCAGUCUCUGGGGUGGUGUUCUGCUUGUUACACCAAUUACCACACAACAGCAGACAGCAUACAUUGACAUAACAAGCAGAGCAUUGUCCAGGAGACUGGAUGAACAUGGAGGGGGUAUUGCUGCUGGAAGGUUGGCCGCUUCCCU